rnacentral:lncRNA from 1 species
CAUCCCUGUUUUGAAACACAAUUUUGAGGCGAAACUGUAGCAAUACACAUCUUUCAGUCUGGAUGCACAGUUUUGAAAGCAGUGUCUCCCUGAUAUGAAGAGAUUAUUUAUUUAUUAAGAAGCUCCAGCCACAAAGAAAAUCCCGCAUGCAGUGUGGUCCAGGUUAUACCGAACCAUGGAUGUCUCAUGCAGAGCAGUAUCUUAUUGCACACAUGACUUACUCAUGUUGCAAAAGUAGGGCAGCAGAAGGUGCUUGGGGAGAAACCAAAGAAGCAGGACAAGUACAGAGUGAUUCUUCCAGCUUCUGA